rnacentral:misc_RNA from 1 species
AUAUUGUAUCUAUAAUAAAAAAGAGAUUCUCAUCACCACCAAGGAAAAAAUCAAUAUAUGCAACCAUCAAGUCUGGUGUUGCUCCAACCUUCAUCCCUUUAUACAGUGCUCGUGAUCGGCAAGAGCGGAGACAAGAAUGGUCAUAUUCAGACUUGACAUAUUCCUGAAGUCGAUGAAUUUUAUUCCUCUGGCGCCACUGUUUCCAGGACCAGGCACAAGGAUAGGCAAGCACUGAAAGUAUGCUAUGGACUGAACCUUC